GACGAACGCUGGCGGCGUGCCUAAUACAUGCAAGUCGAACGCUUCUUUCCUCCCGAGUGCUUGCACUCAAUUGGAAAGAGGAGUGGCGGACGGGUGAGUAACACGUGGGUAACCUACCCAUCAGAGGGGGAUAACACUUGGAAACAGGUGCUAAUACCGCAUAACAGUUUAUGCCGCAUGGCAUAAGAGUGAAAGGCGCUUUCGGGUGUCGUUGAUGGAUGGACCCGCGGUGCAUUAGCUAGUUGGUGAGGUAACGGCUCACCAAGGCCACGAUGCAUAGCCGACCGGAGAGGGUGAUCGGCCACACUGGGAUGGGGACGCGGCCCAGACUCCUACGGGAGGCAGCAGUAGGGAAGCUUCGGCAAUGGACGAAAGUCUGACCGAGCAACGCCGCGUGAGUGAAGAAGGUGUUCGGAUCGUAAAACUCUGUUGUUAGAGAAGAACAAGGACGUUAGUAACUGAACGUCCCCUGACGGUAUCUAACCAGAAAGCCACGGAUAACUACGUG
rnacentral:rRNA from 1 species